rnacentral:rRNA from 1 species
AGAGUUUGAUCCUGGCUCAGGAUGAACGCUAGCGGCAGGCUUAACACAUGCAAGUCGAGGGGCAGCGAGAUUGAAGCUUGCUUCAAUUGUCGGCGACCGGCGGACGGGUGCGUAACGCGUAUGCAACCUACCCAUAACAGGGGGAUAACACUGAGAAAUUGGUACUAAUACCCCAUAACAUCUCGAGUGGCAUCACUUGGGGUUGAAAGCUUCGGUGGUUCUGGAUGGGCAUGCGUUGUAUUAGCUGGUUGGUGAGGUAACGGCUCACCAAGGCGACGAUACAUAGGGGGACUGAGAGGUUAACCCCCCACAUUGGUACUGAGACACGGACCAAACUCCUACGGGAGGCAGCAGUGAGGAAUAUUGGUCAAUGGACGGAAGUCUGAACCAGCCAUGCCGCGUGCAGGAUGACGGCUCUAUGAGUUGUAAACUGCUUUUGUACGAGGGUAAACCCGAAUACGUGUAUUCGGCUGAAAGUAUCGUACGAAUAAGGAUCGGCUAACUCCGUGCCAGCAGCCGCGGUAAUACGGAGGAUCCAAGCGUUAUCCGGAUUUAUUGGGUUUAAAGGGUGCGUAGGCGGUCAGAUAAGUUAGAGGUGAAAUUCCGGUGCUUAACACCGGCGCUGCCUCUAAUACUGUUUGACUAGAGAGUAGUUGCGGUAGGCGGAAUGUAUGGUGUAGCGGUGAAAUGCUUAGAGAUCAUACAGAACACCGAUUGCGAAGGCAGCUUACCAAGCUAUAUCUGACGUUGAGGCACGAAAGCGUGGGGAGCAAACAGGAUUAGAUACCCUGGUAGUCCACGCAGUAAACGAUGAUAACUCGUUGUCGGCGAUACAAUGUCGGUGACUAAGCGAAAGCGAUAAGUUAUCCACCUGGGGAGUACGUUCGCAAGAAUGAAACUCAAAGGAAUUGACGGGGGCCCGCACAAGCGGAGGAACAUGUG